rnacentral:lncRNA from 1 species
UGCGCUGCCGCCGGCGAGCUCGCCCGCCGGCCGGAACCCUAGAACCGGGCCAGUUAGGUUUCGCCACGUGGCGAGAUUUUGUUUUAUUUAUUUUAUUUUAAUUCGGCCGAAUUGGAUAAUGCAAUUUUGCAGAAAAGCCCCUGUAACUUUAAAGCCUCAUAUCUUUCAAACCGUUUUUCCAAAAAUUAUGUUCCGCACCUUUCUGGAAUCGUCACAACGUGUAGAAUAUUUUGGCACUAUUUAAAUUCAGUUUUGAACAACUUAGACAGUAGCUAUUUACAGAAUGGUGGUUUAUGGUUUAAAUUUCAAAUGAAUUGUUUCAAAAUAGUUUUGAGCAUGUUAUCUUGCUGUAAAAUUAUUUAAACUUGUUUUCUGUCCAUUAGGACCAGAAAAGAAAUUGUUUUGUGAAUAAAAAUGGCUUACAAGUUUAAAUCUUGCUCUAUGUUACAAAAGCCGCUCAAUCUUUUAUUUUAAACCCUAUCCAUGUUUCAUGCCUAUUUGUUAACUCCUUAUUGGUGUAUAAUCUGUCCAAAUCAUUUGAAAAACUUUUCAAAACGGAAAUGAAACUUUUUAUUUUAGAAGUAACCUUCGUUGUGCAUCAUCAUAGCAUAUGCAUCAUGGCAUGAUUUUGUAUUGAGUGUUGUGUUUAUUGUGUGUGUUCAUUUUAUUUUAGAUUGUGUGGAGUGUAAUCAUUGUUGUUGCGAAGAGUGCGAGAACUACCACAACCUUGGACAAGGCAAGUUCACUUUGAUCAUUCUCCUAAAUAUUUUUUUUACUAUGCACUAGAUGUUUUAUUAGUUGCAUCAGGA